AGCCAUGAUUAACAAAUCUGAUCUUCCUGUGGGUUAUUUGUGCUGAGUGACUCUCACCCACUGGGAGCAGCUCUCUGGUGCGACUUCCAGUAGUGCCAUGCAGCUGCCCAGUUUCCAUGAAAUAUCUUGCUGCGUAUCGAUUUACCCUGCUGAAUAAAUCUGCCCGAGGGGGAGACGCUUUCAAGAAGGGACGUGCAAUAUUUAUAACAUCUGCGGGACCAUCGAGAGAGCUCGAAGCAGCGGGUGGAGGAGGCUAAACUGCUCUUAUCUGCAUUCGUGAACAAGGAAAGAGUAAUGCCAAAGAGAGACUUGUGUGAAGCUGCUAACGCGGCACCGGGCAUUAAAAAUAAAAUUAUAUUAAAAAUAAAUUAAAAAUAAAAUUAUAUUAAAAUAAAAAACAGGAGAGAGGGUGCCUGCUGACCCUGGCUUGCAGCGUGGGGAAUCAGAGGCCUCGUGCACACCAAGGUCAACCUCUGGGCAUUCACUGAAGAGAAGCCAUCUGUUCCCAGGGCCUUGCAAGACGGUGUGAAAUCCUCUCUUGAUUCUGGUUUUGGUUUCCUUCCUGUCCUCUCGCGGGCACUGCCCUGUGCCGGCAGCUCCCACAGAGCCAGGGGAGGGCACGUGGAGGCAGGGGAGCUGGAGGAUGGCUGAGGACCACAUGAGCAAUGCAGAAAUGGCUGAGGACCUUCGCUGACCUUCUGCCCUUUACUUGACUGCCUGUUCCUUUAAAACAAAUUUACUGAUGGGGUUUCUUUUAAUUUUUUUUUUCUACCGCCAUCCCCAUGAGGCGUUCUUUCCUAUGAGUCAUGCACACCAUAAAGAAAUUACUGUUUGGCUCAAAGUUACGCUCCCAUGCCUGGAAUCAACAUUUUUUCAGUGAGAGAUAGGAAAUGAGCUGAAUUUGUGGGUGAUUCAUUAUUUACUAUUUUGACCUGAAAAGUGCUUUUGCCACUAGCUUUAAAAGAAGAGAAAAUCAUACAACAAGAUUCCUGAUACACGAAACCAAAGCUAUACGUGACUGAAGACACUGAGCAUGUUCUUUAAGGCCUUAUUUACGCCAUGUACAGAAAUGAUCCCUUUUAUCUUUUGAGGCUGAUUGUACAUUUCAUCAGGAUUAUUAAUUGUGUCAUUUCAGAAUUAUAUCUUACGUAUAUAAAAUACCCUUCAAGAGCUCAUUUCCUCAUAUGGCUAAGAAAUAUGGUGUUUCUUAUGCAUUUAUAUUCUUUUAUUUGAGCACAAUAUGACAUAAUGAGUUGUUUUUUAACCCCCUGCAUAGCCUGGAAGUAAAUAUCAUACAUGUACCUAUGGAGCAGUCCUGCGCACUGAGGCCCAUUUAAGCACAGAAAUGCAGAUUUGGAAUAAAGUGGAAUUCCAGAGGAUAAAAGAGCAAAUCGGAGCAAAACCCAGCAACCCAAAUCUGAUGCAACAGUCAGCGGCAGAGCCCCAGAAGUGACUUCCAUCAGCGACAGCUGAAAGGAAUUGUGGAAAAAAAAUGCAAAAAGGUUGAGAACUGAAGGAACACAGAGGCCCUUCUUGCUAGUGGGAUUUUUAAGAGUACUUUAGUAUUAAUUCCAGGUGGAUUAUAAAAGCUGUGAGUUGCCAGGAGGCUCCAGCAGUGCUGUUUGCCCGAGCUCCAGCCCAACAGGCAGGUCCUGGAGGCAGCCCAGCCCAUUGGGGACAGGGCUGUGACCAGAGCUGGUAAUGAGGAAUAAAAUGAUGGCACUCAGGAAAGGAUCGUGCAUCCCGAUCAAGUGGCACCUCCCAGAAAUGAUGUUCAGUUUAUUCACCUGAGGGCCUACCACCCUACUCGGGCACCCCUUGCUCCCCAGCUCACGCAGCCAGAUCACCACUCUCCAGAUGCAGCACUCAAGGUGCUACCAGACAAACCUUAAGCACAGAUGACCGAAGAAGACACAUUUCUGCUCACAGCCCCUUCACGUCACCAGAACCCUCCUGGGAGCAGUCAGAGAAACCCAGCCACACACAGGCUGCACGGAAACAGGGUUCCUUGCACCUUUCCAACUCUGCUGCUGAUUUUUCCUUGGCCUGGUGACUCCUCCCAGGCCGACACCCUGCCCGCUCUGCUGCAAUUUUCUUGUUUGAAGUGCCCUGCCUGGUUAGCAUAGCCAGCAUUACACCAGUUCCAUCAAAUGUCAAUACAGGUUUUAACUUCUGCUUCGUGUCAGGCCUGCUGAAGGUUUGCUCAAUGCCAGAGCUUGCCCAUUUUUCUUCAGCUCCAUCAGGUGGGAUUUGAAAUGUAUUCCCUCACCCUACAGGCUUGCCUCUGGGUGAGACAAAGCAGCUUUGAGGGCUCGGCCCCUCCACCUUCAUCACAACCAGUGCUGAUAUCAGAAAAUGUGAGGGCCUUGCCCCACACGUGACUGCGUGUGGGUCACAGACCUGUCUGGCGUGGGGCCUACCACAGACCUGUGAACCAACACUGACCAUAUAAACGCCAGGAAUCAGCCCUUCGCUUAAAGGAGUGAAAAUAAAAUCAGGACCAAGCCGUGAAAGCCUUGCUUGAACCCUUUAAAAGUCACUUUCUAAAAUUAGAUUUAGACAUUUAGGUCAUUAUAGAGCAGAUGCUGCCACCAAAUUUGUUUGGACGUAACUCACUGCAGCGCUUCUGCCAAUGGAAACAAAUUAGAAAAUGCUGGAUAACUCACCAAAUCCUCCUGAUUUAUUCCUUUAGAACUGAAGCAGUUGAAGAAAGUUCUUAAGUCGUGCAUCUCCAUCCUUGGCAGAUAUUUACAAGAAAAGGCAAUGAUUUUAAUUUUUACUGCAGGAAAUUGAAUGCAUCUGGGACCAAGGAGUCUCUUUUGUGGUAGCCACUACUUCAGGUGGGAGGGGAGGAGGAGGAGAAAGGGAUGAGGAAAUGAAGUUCCCAGAAAAAGGACAGAAUAUAUUUAUUUAAAUAUACAAACUAAAAUAUUGUUCAGAAUGCUUUCUCUUGGUUAAAGUGACCAUCAUAGCACCAUUCCCAGUUCAGUUCCCCCAGGAUGGCUUCUGGUUUUGAAGGUGGGUUUUUAAAGCGCAGCUGGCAUUUCUAUCCACAUUUUAAGUAGUCCUGUGUGGAGCCAGGAGUUGGACUCAGUGAUCCCUGUGGGCCCCUUUGAACUCAGGUUAUUCGAUGAUAUAAUGAUGAUUUCCUGAUUUCAUGUGGCAAUAUUUCCUUUCUAUGCUUCAUGCGAACAGAUGGAGGAAAGUAGAGGCCAUCGAUGACCUCUCUUCCCAUAAAAGCCACCCAAGACAUGCACAAUGUUGCCAACUCUUGCAAUUAUUUUUUUUGCAAAUCCCAUGAUUUGUAGUUAGGAAGAAGAAUGGUUUUAGCUGGAAGCAGCUAAGUCAGCAUUCACCACCCCAAAAAUAUCUUGAGUCACAGAAAGCCAGAGUUAAACAAGCAGAGCCCCUAAAAGCUAAUUUCCAAACAUUAGUGAGAUUUCAAGACAUCCCAUGAUUUUUGGAGGCUGAUUAAUGAGCCUGAGCAGCGGUGUGUACAGCUAGCACACAAGCAACAUCUAACAUUUUCCUGUUUUCGCUUGGCUGCAACUACUUUAAACAAUUACUUCAGCAGGGUUUAACUUCCAGCAGGGUAUCUGCACUGCUGCUUGUGGCGAGGAGACCAGCGGCUUCUUGACCAUCAUUGGACACACAAGGGAUGAUUAUUUAACGAAGAUGUUAAUUACCAGACAGUCAAGGCUUGUGUAGCUGCAGAGAAACCCCGAGACUUCCCUCCCAGUCCUCACCCGGGGCAGCGGUCAGGGGAAAUGAGCUCUGUUCCCCAUCCAAAGGGGUUGUCCUUGGCCAGCCAGUUUCACAAUCCGCUCGAGCUGUUGGGGUUCUUUCGCUAAUUCACAGCAGACCCAUUUUUAGCCUUUUUAACCUUGGAUGAGCGAUUUCGGAAAGAUGGGGCAGAUAUUACAAGAUGAGGCACUCCCCCAAAAGCUGUGGUAGGCCUGCAGUGACUGCAGCUUUUUGCAAGCUGUUUUACAGGAAAUGAAAUCUCAAUGGCAUUUCUGUCUCAUUUCUGAACCAGCCGACCACGUUCCUCUUCCUUUUCAGAGCAUGAACAAUGUGUAGCACAGUACAUACAUUACUACCCUGAACUCUGUUUUUGUUCAUUGUUAAGGCCGUUGAAAAUACAGUAUUUUCACACAGCUUCCUCUGCACAGCCAGCAGUUGACUACCAGCAAAUGCCCUGUGAGUACAGGAUGCACGCAGUACAGGGAAGAACGCUAUUAGUCUUGCAAAGUCAGGUCCGCAGAAACAAUGAAAUGACAGGAUCGAAACUUCCUAGGCAAGGUUAAUCUAGGACCCUUUUGUGUAAAGCUCGUAAUAAAGUCUUAUGCUAAAUUAUUAAAGAUCUGUUUAUGUCAUUGAAUGCCUGAGUGGCAAAGCAUUCAAAUAUGAGGUCUCUGCAUGUUCUGUUCACUUUUUGCAUCUUACAAUAUGCUGCUUAAACACUCCUUUAAAUCAUAAUUAAUGUCACCAUCAGGUUUACUGUGGCUCUCCUCUCAGUCUUGCCCCAUGAAUACCACCGGUGUUUAUUACUGAUGCACUUUCAGAUCAUUUUAAGGUAUGAAGAUUGAACUCCCCCGCAUUCUUUCCUUGGGGAACAAGGACAUAAACCUCAGAGGUGUCCACCCUCUGCGCCAGUUGCUGCCUAGAGCCCAAGAUUUUUGCAGAGGGCGUAGAGAUAAGGUAGAGUUUCAUUUACUCGACAUACAGCUUUAGGUGGCUCCCAUUACAGGAGUUAUUGACAGUUCUGGAGCUCUGAAUUAGAGCUCUCCAGAAAACAAAUCAUGAAUUACUUUGGGAAUUGAGUUUAACUCAAACUAUUUAGGGUAUGCAGACUCUUCUCCUAAACCUGCUUCAUGUCCAGAACAGGUCCUUGGCCUGUGUGGUGAAACAGACAGGUGUCACUCAGUGCCACCAUGAACCUGCUGGUUCUUGGUGCUGAUUUACACGAGGUUAAUUUACCCCUGAGAACAUGCCCUGUUGGGGUAUUACUUAAUUUAAUUUCAUGUUUGAAUGUGUUGGUGUAUGAGGGAGGCCGUGGAACCUCCCUGUGGAAGAGGAUCUGGGGCUUCCCCAGCCACAUCGGUGCUGCUGCAACACUUGAAAAGGCCACAGUGUGAAAUUCAUUCGCUGGACACUCGUUCGUCUGGGUUCUCAAGACAGCUCAGCCCUCAUAAGGUGAUUUUUCUGACCAUAAAUGAGAAAAAACUACCAACCUGACAAGACCAGGAUGCCUAACAUUGUGCGUGCCUGUGCAGACACUACUCCUUCCAGCACAACCAAAAGAGGCAGCCUGCGCUGGACUUACAAGCACACAAAGCUUUUUAUUUCAAGCAGUCCAACUCUGGUUUGAUACAGCCGGGAAUUUGGAUGCUGGUCUGGACAGUGGACUGAAGUGAGCAGCAGAUAUUACUCAGUCUUGGUUUUGGCAAUACAUUGGUGACCUGGUGAGUCCUCAUCUUGGCAAUACCCCCACCAUGAAGAAGCAGCAAUUCGCAGUUAGGUAUGAGAAGAAGCUCUUGGUUGUGGUCUUCAGCUUCCCCAAAUCCCUGCAUCCAGAAGAGAUACUUGCUCUCACUUUCAGACAGUCCUUAAAUGUACUUUUUGCUCUUUUAUGCUCCUUUCAGAUUUUAUGUGCUUUAUUUUAUGUGCUUUGAUGACAGUACAAAUAAUUUCUGGCCUUGAAACUAAAGGCUUGAGAAGGACAGAGACAGGCGGAAUGAAUAAAGUUUUAAAAAAUU